rnacentral:rRNA from 1 species
CGCUGGCGGCGUGCCUAACACAUGCAAGUCGAGCGGGGACAUGCGACGGAGACGAAGUACUCGUACGGAGUCAAAGAUGUAAUGUUCUAGCGGCGGACGGGUGAGUAACGCGUGAGCAACCUGUCCCUUACAGGGGGAUAACACAGCGAAAGUUGUACUAAUACCGCAUAAGACCACAGAGUGACAUCGCUCAGGGGUCAAAGGAGCAAUCCGGUAAGGGGUGGGCUCGCGUCCGAUUAGAUAGUUGGUGAGGUAACGGCCCACCAAGUCGACGAUCGGUAGCCGACCUGAGAGGGUGAUCGGCCACAUUGGGACUGAGACACGGCCCAAACUCCUACGGGAGGCAGCAGUGGGGAAUAUUGGGCAAUGGGGGGAAACCCUGACCCAGCAACGCCGCGUGAGGGAAGAAGGUUUUCGGAUCGUAAACCUCUGUCCCAGGUAAAGAGGAAGAGACGGUAGCCUGGGAGGAAGCCCCGGCUAACUACGUGCCAGCAGCGGC